AACGAACGCUGGCGGCAGGCUUAACACAUGCAAGUCGAGCGCCCCGCAAGGGGAGCGGCAGACGGGUGAGUAACGCGUGGGAACGUACCUUUUGGUUCGUAACAACUCCGGGAAACUGGAGCUAAUACCGGAUAAGCCCUAACGGGGAAAGAUUUAUCGCCGAAAGAUCGGCCCGCGUCUGAUUAGCUAGUUGGUGAGGUAACGGCUCACCAAGGCGACGAUCAGUAGCUGGUCUGAGAGGAUGAUCAGCCACACUGGGACUGAGACACGGCCCAGACUCCUACGGGAGGCAGCAGUGGGGAAUAUUGGACAAUGGGCGCAAGCCUGAUCCAGCCAUGCCGCGUGAGUGAUGAAGGCCUUAGGGUUGUAAAGCUCUUUUGUCCGGGAAGAUAAUGACUGUACCGGAAGAAUAAGCCCCGGCUAACUUCGUG
rnacentral:rRNA from 1 species